CCUACGGGCGGCAGCAGUAGGGAAUAUUGCUCAAUGGGGGAAACCCUGAAGCAGCAACGCCGCGUGGAGGAUGAAGGUUUUCGGAUCGUAAACUCCUUUUGUUAGAGAAGAUAAUGACGGUAUCUAACGAAUAAGCACCGGCUAACUCCGUGCCAGCAGCCGCGGUAAUACGGAGGGUGCAAGCGUUACUCGGAAUCACUGGGCGGAAAGAGCGCGUAGGCGGGAUAGCAAGUCAGAUGUGAAAUCCUAGGGCUUAACCAUAGAACUGCAUUUGAAACUGUUAUUCUAGAGUGUGGGAGAGGAAGGUGGAAUUCUUGGUGUAGGGGUAAAAUCCGUAGAGAUCAAGAGGAAUACUCAUUGCGAAGGCGACCUGCUGGAACGUAACUGACGCUGAGGCGCGAAAGCGUGGGGAGCAAACAGGAUUAGAUACCCCGGUAGUC
rnacentral:rRNA from 1 species